GUUUGAUCCUGGCUCAGAUUGAACGCUGGAGGUAUGCUUAACACAUGCAAGUCGAACGCGAACGUUUCUUCGGAAACAAGUAGAGUGGCGGACGGGUGAGUAACGCGUAGGAAUAUACCUAGUAGUGGGGGAUAACAUGAUGAAAAUCAUGCUAAUACCGCAUAUGUCCCAUGGGAUAAAGAGGGCCUCUUCUUGAAAGCUCUUGCUAUUAGAUUAGCCUGCGUCGGAUUAGCUUGUUGGCGGGGUAAUGGCCCACCAAGGCGACGAUCCGUAGCUGGUCUGAGAGGAUGAUCAGCCACACUGGGACUGAGACACGGCCCAGACUCCUACGGGAGGCAGCAGUGGGGAAUAUUGGACAAUGAGCGCAAGCUUGAUCCAGCAAUACCUCGUGUGUGAAGAAGGCCUUAGGGUUGUAAAGCACUUUCGUUUGGGACGAAAAGUUUAAGCUUAAUACGCUUAGACCUUGACGGUACCUUAAGAAGAAGCACCGGCUAACUCCGUGCCAGCAGCCGCGGUAAUAAGGGCGAAU
rnacentral:rRNA from 1 species